UACAGAGGGGGCAAGCGUUGUUCGGAAUUACUGGGCGUAAAGGGCGCGUAGGCGGCCCGCUAAGUCGAACGUGAAAUCCCCAGGCUUAACCUGGGAACUGCAUCCGAUACUGGAUGGCUUGAAUUCGGGAGAGGGAUGCAGAAUUCCAGGUGUAGCGGUGAAAUGCGUAGAUAUCUGGAGGAACACCGGUGGCGAAGGCGGCAUCCUGGACCGACACUGACGCUGAGGAGCGAAAGCCAGGGGAGCAAACGGG
rnacentral:rRNA from 1 species